rnacentral:lncRNA from 1 species
UUAUAACAAGAAUGUGUCCUCAGUACACGAAUGCCCCACUCGCACUAUCAUUUUCUAUGUUCAGUGGACCGUGAAAUUGGGGUAAAAUCUCUAAUUUGGCAUUAAAAUUAGAAAGAUCAUAUCAUAGGGAACAUGUGUACCAAGUUUGAAGUCGAUUGGACUUCAACUUCAUCAAAAACUACCUCGACCAAAAACUUUAACCUGAAGCGGGACAGACGGACGAACGAACGGACGAACGGACGGACGAACGGACGGACGAACGGACGCACAGACCAGAAAACAUAAUGCCCCUCUACUAUGGUAG